GCUUUGGCGGAGUUAUUCGUGAUUUUGGUGCGUUGAGUUCGUGAUUUUCAAAAGGGAUAUCACCAUCAAAAUGGACUUGAACAGAUGUACCCAAUGUGGAAUUCAACGUUGUGGUCCCACCGAGAAUAUUGAUCCCAAAAACAUCCAGCUAAUUAAGGAACUUGGCAGAGGUGCCUUCGGCUGUGUGUUUGAAGCAAGGUGGCGUGCUACCAAUAUUGUUCCACAGAUUCCAUGGUAUCCAUGUUCCUGCAUAAAUCCGCAGAAUGGUUCAACAGUUGCAGUUGGUGGAUCAACUGUUGCAGUUAAAUAUAUGGAGAAGCAUUCGAAUGAAGAUACCUGCAAUUUUCUACGGGAAAUCUGUGCGCUCUCAUCAAUGAAACAUACCAAUAUCGUCGAGCUUUACGGGGGUGGUCAAACUGAUUUCCAUUAUUUCCUCGUCAUGGAAUUGGCAGAAGGAUCUUUGAGAAAUGUUCUAAGUAAAGGUCCGAUUCCUUCUGGUAGAGGACUAUCCUAUUUAAGGCAAAGCGCAGAGGGGCUACAUUUCCUACAUAUGAACAACAUGAUACACCGAGACAUUAAACCGGAAAACCUCCUAAUUUUUGAUAAGGAGAGACAAUCAAAAUCGGAGAUUUCGGACUGGUUUCUGAUAACUACCUAACAAGAAACGCAGCAGGAACUGAUCUCUACAUGGACCCUCAAGCAAUCAAAACAAACAAAUGCAACUACAAGAGCGAUAUUUAUAGUUGGGCUGUUACAAUGUGGGAGAUGUUUUCUGGCAAGAGUCCAACCUGGAACAGGCAAAAACGAAGGCCUGUGAUUCCGAAAAGCUGGCCUAAAAAGUUACAAGUGUUGAUUCUACUGUGCUUGAGUCAUGAUGCAGAUUCUAUAAUGUCUAUGGACGAUGUGAUUAAAUUUUAUAAUUGUGGACCAAAUGAAAACAGCGAAAAUUAUUCCAAUGUCCAAACAGGCUCAGACUUAAGCAAGUAUUUCAUUGGAGGUGGAUUUGCCGCGGGGCUUAUAAUAGCAAUAAUCAUGGCAUUUCAUUCGUUGAGAUAAACCUAGGGCAAUAAUGGCAAA